UUGAAAAGCCGGUGACAUUUACCAGCGUGCUUGAGCGCAUGUAUCGCGUGAUAAUCUCGCAGUCUGAUUUUGGAGAAACUCUGAUGAUGAUGAUCCUUCAGCUUCCCAUCGCCGUGGUAGCAACAGUCCUCUUUGCAUCCGAUCGGUCUGUUGCCAUGGCAGCCGUGAUGAGCCGGGAGGAACCGUGGCGACCCCAGCGAGAGACCGUCUGUAUCUGUUACCAUGGAGCCCAGCAACAAAGUACAAGUCAAGCAUCACGGUUACUGUUGCUACAGUGAUUCGGAACGAACCUCAGACAUUAAAUACUACACAGUUUGUAUCAUUUG